CCAGAGGGUCAUUUCUGUGUGUGGUUAGGGCUUGUGUAAGUACAAAAGAAGCAGCAGAAGAUUGAAAACAUCAUUCUGUGUGCUGCAUGUAUGUGAUGAUUUUGUGACCAUCAGGAUUGAUUUCUUUUAUUAAGUGGCUCAUCAGAUGUUUGAGAAAAUGGCCAUAAGAGGAUUGAUGAAACUUGAAAGAGGUUGUGGUAUUUCUAGCAGGUUGAGAGGAUAACUCGUGACAGGGUUCAGGUGAAGUAGGAAAGACCCACCAUGACCUGCGAGUUAAUGGUUUUUGGGGGUAUGAACAAUUUAAUGUGUUAUCUCCAUUCAUAGUUUAGUGUACCUAGCUGUUUUCUUUGCAUGUUGAAUAAUAUUGUUGGUACCAGUAGGCCUUUUCCCAGCCCCAGGUAAAUAUCAUGAGGCUACCUGUAAGUUGGAAUCCUACAGCUGCCACCCAUGGCUCAUUUCAAGUAGUAAUUUCAGAGUUAAUUUUCCU